GCGGCAGGCCUAUACAUGCAAGUCGAGGGGUAGAAUGGGGCUUGCUCCAUUUGAGACCGGCGCACGGGUGCGUAACGCGUAUGCAAUCUACCUUAAUCAGGGGGAUAGCCUCUCGAAAGAGAGAUUAAUACCGCAUAACAUUAUGAUAUGGCAUCAUAUUAUAAUCAAACAUUUAUGGGAUUAAGAUGAGCAUGCGUGACAUUAGCUAGUUGGUGAGGUAACGGCUCACCAAGGCAACGAUGUCUAGGGGAUCUGAGAGGAUGACCCCCCACACUGGUACUGAGACACGGACCAGACUCNUACGGGAGGCAGCAGUAAGGAAUAUUGGUCAAUGGGCGCAAGCCUGAACCAGCCAUGCCGCGUGCAGGAAGACGGCCCUAUGGGUUGUAAACUGCUUUUAUACGGGAAUAAACCUCGGUACGUGUACCGAGCUGAAUGUACCGUAAGAAUAAGGAUCGGCUAACUCCGUGCCAGCAGCCGCGGUAAUACGGAGGAUCCAAGCGUUAUCCGGAUUUAUUGGGUUUAAAGGGUGCGUAGGCGGCUUUUUAAGUCAGGGGUGAAAGACGGUGGCUCAACCAUCGCAGUGCCCUUGAUACUGAAGAGCUUGAAUACACUAGAGGUAGGCGGAAUGAGACAAGUAGCGGUGAAAUGCAUAGAUAUGUCUCAGAACACCAAUUGCGAAGGCAGCUUACUAUGGUGUUAUUGACGCUGAGGCACGAAAGCGUGGGGAUCAAACAGGGAUUAGAUACCCUGGUAGUCC
rnacentral:rRNA from 1 species